GAUGAACGCUGGCGGCGUGCUUAACACAUGCAAGUCGAACGGGAAUUAUUUUAUUGAAACUUCGGUCGAUUUAAUUUAAUUCUAGUGGCGGACGGGUGAGUAACGCGUGGGUAACCUGCCUUAUACAGGGGGAUAACAGUCAGAAAUGGCUGCUAAUACCGCAUAAGCGCACAGAGCUGCAUGGCUCAGUGUGAAAAACUCCGGUGGUAUAAGAUGGACCCGCGUUGGAUUAGCUGGUUGGUGGGGUAACUGCCCACCAAGGCGACGAUCCAUAGCCGGCCUGAGAGGGUGAACGGCCACAUUGGGACUGAGACACGGCCCAGACUCCGACGGGAGGCAGCAGUGGGGAAUAUUGCACAAUGGGGGAAAACCUGAUGCAGCGACGCGGCGUGAAGGAAGAAGUAUCUCGGUAUGUAAACUUCUAUCAGCAGGGAAGAUAGUGACGGUACCUGACUAAGAAGCCCCGGCUAACUACGUG
rnacentral:rRNA from 1 species